rnacentral:rRNA from 2 species
CCGUCUUGAAACACGGACCAAGGAGUCUAGCAUGUGCGCGAGUCAUUGGGACUUAACUAAACCUAAAGGCGAAAUGAAAGUGAAGGUCCGCCUCGCGCGGACCUAGGGAGGAUGGGCCCGCCCAAGGGGGGCCCCGCACUCCCGGGGCGUCUCGUUCUCAUCGCGAGAGGAGGCGCACCCAGAGCGUACACGCUGGGACCCGAAAGAUGGUGAACUAUGCCUGGUCAGGACGAAGUCAGGGGAAACCCUGAUGGAGGUCCGUAGCGAUUCUGACGUGCAAAUCGAUCGUCGGAACUGGGUAUAGGGGCGAAAGACUAAUCGAACCAUCUAGUAGCUGGUUCCCUCCGAAGUUUCCCUCAGGAUAGCUGGCGCUCGCCGCGCGCGAGUCUCAUCCGGUAAAGCGAAUGAUUAGAGGCAUUGGGGUCGAAACGGCCUCAACCUAUUCUCAAACUUUAAAUGGGUGAGAUCUCCGGCUUGCUCGAACACGUGAAGCCGCGAGAUUUCGGAUCAGAGUGCCAAGUGGGCCACUUUUGGUAAGCAGAACUGGCGCUGUGGGAUGAACCAAACGCAGAGUUAAAGCGCCCAAAUCGACGCUUAUGGGAUACCAUGAAAGGCGUUGGUAACUUAAGACAGCAGG